rnacentral:rRNA from 1 species
AACAAACGCUGGCGGCGUGCCUAACACAUGCAGGUCGAGCGAUUUACUUCGGUAAAGAGCGGCGGACGGGUGAGUAACGCGUGGGUAACCUGCCCUGUACACACGGAUAACAUACCGAAAGGUAUGCUAAUACGAGAUAAUAUGCUUUUAUCGCAUGGUAGAAGUAUCAAAGCUCCGGCGGUACAGGAUGGACCCGCGUCUGAUUAGCUAGUUGGUAAGGUAACGGCUUACCAAGGCGACGAUCAGUAGCCGACCUGAGAGGGUGAUCGGCCACAUUGGAACUGAGACACGGUCCAAACUCCUACGGGAGGCAGCAGUGGGGAAUAUUGCACAAUGGGCGAAAGCCUGAUGCAGCAACGCCGCGUGAGUGAUGAAGGCCUUCGGGUCGUAAAGCUCUGUCCUCAAGGAAGAUAAUGACGGUACUUGAGGAGGAAGCCCCGGCUAACUACGUG